ensembl:lncRNA
UUUGCUGUUUUAGUAAACAAGUGAAUCCCUUCUUAAAUGGCGUUACUUGUUACAGAAAUGUCUCCAAACAGAAACAUCUAACGAGGAAUCAAAGGACCGUGGAGGGGUUGUGUGUGGGUAACGGGGUCGUCCCCGCGGAGCCCGCAGGUGCGGCCGGAGCCCUGGGAGGAGGCUUCCUCCGGGUCGAGGCCCGCACUUCACAAAGGCCCUCGGAAAGGAGGGCGGUGACCAGGGCAUCGCGGGAGCAUCCGACCUCAUCAUUGUUGCUGCUCCUGGAUCCGCUCAGACGUGGAGGCGGGAACGCUCUGCGCGCUGGCUCGCCUGCCUGUCCUUUCCACGGAAAUGGCUCGAGAGAAAACGUGGGAAAAUGACAGAAUUUCCCGUUUUUUAGGGUCUAAAAUGGGUCAGCUGUAAUGUCAGCCAGUGGCGGUCAGAUGCUUCUGCAGCUACUCAGAGGACUGCCCUGGAGAAAGUGCCUCUGAGUAACCAGAUCUGUGUUCUGUGUCUCCUGUUCUGACUACCCAGCAAAUGAUGUGAAGGCGACGGCAGCCGUGGACGUUCUGCCAGAUGAAGGGUGAAGCGGGAUCCCAGUCAGAAGCAGGGGAGGUGCAUCUGAGGGCAGGGGAGGCAGCUCCACCAGCAGGGAGGGGCGUUCAGGCAGGGACAGCUGCUCACCUGCCCAUGAUGGGGGAAGAAAUCUACAGAUCCCCAGGAGUCUCUAACAUCACUCCUCUUCGUGCAGCUCCCUCCUCCCAUAUCUGCUCUGGCUCCCUAUUGCCUGCAGGAGCAUGUUCUUCCUGGGCAUCACCACGACCUGACAUGUAACCUCUGGGAUCCUCCUGACUGAGGCCGUGCACUGUCAUUCACAUACACUCAAUGUCUCCUGCCUUCCAGCCGCUGCUCCUGUCUUCUCCCCACAAUUCCACCCACUCAGAGCCUCUCUCACAGUCCAAGGAGAGCAGUGCACUCCUCCUUCCAUCUUCAGCAGCCCAGACUUGGUCUCCAGUUAGGGGACUGUUUUCAAGGAAGCUGCAAACAACCCAGGACUGGUCUUUGCAGGUGUUCUACUGAUUUUCUUGAACUGUCUUAAAAGUGGAAGCAAAGUCCUGGGAAGGGGAGCAGAGAUGAGGGGGCUUCUAGAUGAAGCCCCGCCAAGAGGUUAUCGGUGGACUGGCUCUCUCCCAGCUCUCUACCCCAUCCUGUGGGGACAGUUAACACAAGAAAGAGUUUUCUUAAUGUCCCAGCAACGUGGCCCAGCUGUGGCUGCUUUGUGUAUCCCUUGUCCUGGGAGCUUCUCUGUGGCUUCUCCACGCAGGUGAGGAACAGGGCAGAGGCAGCCAGGAUGGAAGGGGCUCCCCUGCCCGCUGGGUCUCAUCAGACAGGCGAACUGACACUGUCAUUUCUAACCACAUACAGUGUGGAAAGGACAAUCACAAAGUCUAGGACAUUGUAGGUAUUCAAUAAAUGAGAGCUAUUAUCUGACAACACACACUCACGCACACAGUGAAUUGUGCGCACACACAUAUACACUGCUCUUUCUCUCUCUGAAGCACGAGUCAAGCCCAGGGCAGGGGCCCAGCAUGGAGUGUGUUGCAUGAGCCCACUGCUGUCAGGGAGCUGGGGAGCUGGUGAAACGCAGCAGGACUCAGAGCUGUGUCCCCGGGAGGCCACCAUGUGAGUGAGCCCCCUACCCAGCCGUCCUGCCCACCAUGGGCUCUUUGGAGCUGGGCACUGGUAGGAAGGAUGUGCGGAAUCCUGUCUGCAGCCGGCACGGAGGGGUGACUCGGGGCUUCAAGAAUUCAAACUGAUGACAGAGGAGAAUGACGGAUACACACGACAUCCUUAUGCUGAGUAAGAGUACACACUGUGUGGUUUAAUGUGAAGUUCUAGAACAGGCAAAAUGUAUCCAUGAGGCAGAAAAAUCAGAACAGUGGUUGUCCUUCCUGAUUCGAUGUGGGGACUGACUGGGAAGGGUCGAGAGGGGGCUUUGUGGACAUAAGGCUGAUGGUCUACAACUCGAAGGGGCUUGGGUUCCACAGGUACACGCACUUGUGAAAACAUCACUUAAGAGAUGUGCAUUUGAUAGGAUACAAUUUUUAGGAAAAAUAAACUGUAAUAAUAUUGAACUCUAGCACUACACACUCUGAAUUAUUCAGGGCACAUGUUACUGAUGUCUGUAACAGUCCUUGAAAUGGAUUAAAAUUAAGACGGGUUGAUGGGAGGAGUAUGAACACAUGGACAGAUACACAUAAAGCAAGUACAUUCAAAUGUUAAUGGUAGAAUCAACACUGUGGGAAUAUGGGGUUAAAUAAAAAAUUAUUUCAUAUUUCCCUUGUGUUUUAAAAUUUUCAUAAUUAAAUGUUGGGAGAAAAACUGCACGAGCCCCUUCCACUUUUGCCGUUUUUGGAAGACGCCAAGCAAAGGGACAUGAAUGUUCAGGGUAACUGGAUCUGCUCGGAGGAGAAGCCUGUGAGGAGCAGGAGCCACACAGUGAGGAACGGUUGCUCAGCAUCUGUGGUUCCUCUAGGAAUGCCAGAAACCUCUUGCCUUCAGAGUUCCCUGCCCCCAACUCCCUGGAUGGGGGAGGCCUUCCUCAGUCAGAGGCCAGCCAGGGGGCCCAGGAUUGCGGACACGACCCUACGAAGGACACACUGCUGUCUGGAUGUGCCUGGUCAGGGAGAUUAUUCCACCACAGGGGGAGACAGCCUUUGCACUGGUGACACCUCGUGAAUAAUCCCUUAAUGUGGACUCACAUGCUUAUUCUUCUGCUGUAGUGGAGAAGAAAAUGCACCAAAUACAGCUGUCAGUGGUGAGCACACCUUUCUCUCAGCCUCUUGCAGAUCCAGAACUUCUGAUGACGAGGCGCCCUAGGGCGCUGAGCUUUGCUCCAAAGAUUGAUCUACAUUUUCCUCUCUGACUUGUGCUGCGUGCAGUGCGCCCUUGCUCUGAUGCAGCUCUCUCAGUUGUCCAUCCAGCCUCUGCCCAUGUGAGCGCUGUUCCAUCUGGGAAGGGAAAGCUCUGCUCUUUCUCAACACUGUAAAAGAUCCUAGAAAGAUGUGGUAACUACCCAUUCCGGGGUUUCCUCUUCCUGCUCUGCUGUUCUGCCCAGGAUUCUCUGCACAGUGCUCUCCUUCGCACCUACGCUUCCAUUCCCCUUGUCAGCCCGAGUUCCCAAGGCUUUCUGGGAUUUCCAUAACAGUUUUCAGGGUCCCUGAGCUCACAGUAUUGCUCGUCCUUGUGAAGUGCUUCCAGUUUUCUCUUCCCCCAGACCACGUGGAUUUUGGCAUUUCCUUCCCAAACCCCAAGGGCUCAUCUUGUUGAUCUCUCCUUCUUGACCUGCCCCCAGGGGAGGAAGGAGGAUGCUGGCGGGAAGGUGAGGACUUGAGUCUGUGCUGAGACCCAGAGGAGGGGCGGGGCGGGCGGCCUCUUCAGCAGGUGGACUCUGAGGGGGUCGGGAAAGAAGAGGUAGCAGAAGAGCGAGAGCGGAGAGCUUCCCUCCCCACAGACUCCAUGCAGCUUCGGGUCCUGACGACCUGGCGUCUAUCCUGCCCGUGCUGCCGCCCGCCAAUCCAGGCUGAUGCUCAGGGUGCGUCUCAACGAGGCAUCUGUGACGUCAUGCGGCUCCCCACCGUCUUGACAUCCUUGGGAAUUCCUCCUCAGCCCCCGCCUGCCUCCCUCCUCCAUCCCACUACCUGCCCUGUGCAGUCAGGAGGUGUCCCCAGUUCACUGGUGAAUUCAUUGGAUCUGUCACGUCGCCAGCUGGAAUGGGACAGGCCCUGAACCCAGGGAUCCCAGGCAAGGGCGCUGAGACAGCAGGGUCGCAAUCCCAGCAGGGACUGCUUGACUCUGGGCUGGUCGUGCCCUCCCCUCUCCCGUGGAGCCUCACCCCGCCCCUCCGAAGACCCGCCCCCUGCACGCGGACUGGGUGUCCAUGGCGACGGGAAGGAAGCCGGUUCUGAAUUCCCUACUCCCUUCAUUAGUUCAUCAAUCCCUUUAUUUUCCAUAAGUGUAUCAAACAUUUCUCAGCUUGUCCUUCGUCAGCGUACAUUACAGUAUGGACUUUUGACCUUUAUUUUGGCAGCAGAUAUUUUAUUUAGUCAAAUUUGGCGCCAUGUUUAUGAACAGAAACACAGAUUUUUGCAUUGUCUGGGGAAGUUUCAGCUGGAUCUUUUUUGUGUCAAAGAAAGAGAGAAAUUAAUGAGAAUACUUCCUUGAAUAAAUCCCUUUAAAUUUAUUGCCCAUCAUCGUGGAGAUGAAUUUACUUAGGAAAAAAAUAAGAAAUUCUGAGAAUGAAGGAGGGGUGAAGAGGCAAAUGAAAUAAUUCAACCAGGCUACCACUGCAGGUGUGUGAUAUUAGACGGAGCGUGUCCAAUGGGGAGCAGCACAGAGAGUGUGAACAAAUCUUCACUGAGAGCAGAACGGUGCAGCGGAAGCGAGCUGGGCUCCCAACUCAGAAGAAGAAGACUCUUUCUGCGUGUUUACAAGUGCUCAAUUCUCUACAUAAAAUCUAGCUGUUUCCACUUUUUGCCUACUACGAAAAAUGCUACUUUGAUGAGGGUUUUCUGUUUUUGUUUGGGGUUUUUUGUUUUGCUUUUGUUUUCAUGUGCAGUGGGGAGGAAAUGAGUGUUGAGGAG